GUAUAAGAUGUAACACUUAUGCCUAUAAAACUUAUUAAAGUCGUGAUCUGAUUAUAUCAUUGCGUCUGAUUAUAUACAAUAUAAAAGAACCUGAUAAAACUAUCCAGGUUCUUUUUUGA
rnacentral:sRNA from 1 species